AUUGAACGCUGGCGGCAUGCUUUACACAUGCAAGUCGAACGGCAGCACGGGCUUCGGCCUGGUGGCGAGUGGCGAACGGGUGAGUAAUGCAUCGGAACGUGCCCAUUUGUGGGGGAUAACUACGCGAAAGCGUGGCUAAUACCGCAUACGCCCUGAGGGGGAAAGCGGGGGAUUCUUCGGAACCUCGCGCAAUUGGAGCGGCCGAUGUCAGAUUAGCUUGUUGGUGAGGUAAAGGCUCACCAAGGCGACGAUCUGUAGCGGGUCUGAGAGGAUGAUCCGCCACACUGGGACUGAGACACGGCCCAGACUCCUACGGGAGGCAGCAGUGGGGAAUUUUGGACAAUGGGGGCAACCCUGAUCCAGCCAUGCCGCGUGAGUGAAGAAGGCCUUCGGUUGUAAGCUCUUCAGUCCGGGAAGAAAGGACGCGACUCUCUAACAUAAGGUGUGGAUGACGGUACCGGAAGAAGAAGGCACCGGCUAACUACGUGCCAGCACG
rnacentral:rRNA from 1 species